rnacentral:rRNA from 1 species
GACGAAUGCUGGCGGCGUGCCUAAUACAUGCAAGUUGAGCGAUGAAGAUUGGUGCUUGCACCAAUUUGAAGAGCAGCGAACGGGUGAGUAACGCGUGGGGAAUCUGCCUUUGAGCGGGGGACACCAUUUGGAAACGAAUGCUAAUACCGCAUUACAACUUUAAACAUAAGUUUUAAGUUUGAAAGAUGCAAUUGCAUCACUCAAAGAUGAUCGCGCGGUGUAUUAGCUAGUUGGUGAGGUAAAGGCUCACAAAGGCGAUGAUACAUAGCCGACCUGAGAGGGUGAUCGGCCACAUUGGGACUGAGACACGGCCCAAACUCCUACGGGAGGCAGCAGUAGGGAAUCUUCGGCAAUGGACGAAAGUCUGACCGAGCAACGCCGCGUGAGUGAAGAAGGUUUUCGGAUCGUAAAACUCUGUUGGUAGAGAAGAACGUUGGUGAGAGUGGAAAGCUCAUCAAGUGACGGUAACUACCCAGAAAGGGACGGCUAACUACGUGCCAGCAGCCGCAGUAA